rnacentral:rRNA from 1 species
UUAAGCGACUAAGCGUACACGGUGGAUGCCCUGGCAGUCAGAGGCGAUGAAGGACGUGCUAAUCUGCGAUAAGCGUCGGUAAGGUGAUAUGAACCGUUAUAACCGGCGAUUUCCGAAUGGGGAAACCCAGUGUGUUUCGACACACUAUCAUUAACUGAAUCCAUAGGUUAAUGAGGCGAACCGGGGGAACUGAAACAUCUAAGUACCCCGAGGAAAAGAAAUCAACCGAGAUUCCCCCAGUAGCGGCGAGCGAACGGGGAGCAGCCCAGAGCCUGAAUCAGUGUGUGUGUUAGUGGAAGCGUCUGGAAAGGCGCGCGAUACAGGGUGACAGCCCCGUACACAAAAAUGCACAUGCUGUGAGCUCGAUGAGUAGGGCGGGACACGUGGUAUCCUGUCUGAAUAUGGGGGGACCAUCCUCCAAGGCUAAAUACUCCUGACUGACCGAUAGUGAACCAGUACCGUGAGGGAAAGGCGAAAAGAACCCCGGCGAGGGGAGUGAAAAAGAACCUGAAACCGUGUACGUACAAGCAGUGGGAGCACGCUUAGGCGUGUGACUGCGUACCUUUUGUAUAAUGGGUCAGCGACUUAUAUUCUGUAGCAAGGUUAACCGAAUAGGGGAGCCGAAGGGAAACCGAGUCUUAACUGGGCGUUAAGUUGCAGGGUAUAGACCCGAAACCCGGUGAUCUAGCCAUGGGCAGGUUGAAGGUUGGGUAACACUAACUGGAGGACCGAACCGACUAAUGUUGAAAAAUUAGCGGAUGACUUGUGGCUGGGGGUGAAAGGCCAAUCAAACCGGGAGAUAGCUGGUUCUCCCCGAAAGCUAUUUAGGUAGCGCCUCGUGAAUUCAUCUCCGGGGGUAGAGCACUGUUUCGGCAAGGGGGUCAUCCCGACUUACCAACCCGAUGCAAACUGCGAAUACCGGAGAAUGUUAUCACGGGAGACACACGGCGGGUGCUAACGUCCGUCGUGAAGAGGGAAACAACCCAGACCGCCAGCUAAGGUCCCAAAGUCAUGGUUAAGUGGGAAACGAUGUGGGAAGGCCCAGACAGCCAGGAUGUUGGCUUAGAAGCAGCCAUCAUUUAAAGAAAGCGUAAUAGCUCACUGGUCGAGUCGGCCUGCGCGGAAGAUGUAACGGGGCUAAACCAUGCACCGAAGCUGCGGCAGCGACGCUUAUGCGUUGUUGGGUAGGGGAGCGUUCUGUAAGCCUGCGAAGGUGUGCUGUGAGGCAUGCUGGAGGUAUCAGAAGUGCGAAUGCUGACAUAAGUAACGAUAAAGCGGGUGAAAAGCCCGCUCGCCGGAAGACCAAGGGUUCCUGUCCAACGUUAAUCGGGGCAGGGUGAGUCGACCCCUAAGGCGAGGCCGAAAGGCGUAGUCGAUGGGAAACAGGUUAAUAUUCCUGUACUUGGUGUUACUGCGAAGGGGGGACGGAGAAGGCUAUGUUGGCCGGGCGACGGUUGUCCCGGUUUAAGCGUGUAGGCUGGUUUUCCAGGCAAAUCCGGAAAAUCAAGGCUGAGGCGUGAUGACGAGGCACUACGGUGCUGAAGCAACAAAUGCCCUGCUUCCAGGAAAAGCCUCUAAGCAUCAGGUAACAUCAAAUCGUACCCCAAACCGACACAGGUGGUCAGGUAGAGAAUACCAAGGCGCUUGAGAGAACUCGGGUGAAGGAACUAGGCAAAAUGGUGCCGUAACUUCGGGAGAAGGCACGCUGAUAUGUAGGUGAAGUCCCUUGCGGAUGGAGCUGAAAUCAGUCGAAGAUACCAGCUGGCUGCAACUGUUUAUUAAAAACACAGCACUGUGCAAACACGAAAGUGGACGUAUACGGUGUGACGCCUGCCCGGUGCCGGAAGGUUAAUUGAUGGGGUCAGCGCAAGCGAAGCUCUUGAUCGAAGCCCCGGUAAACGGCGGCCGUAACUAUAACGGUCCUAAGGUAGCGAAAUUCCUUGUCGGGUAAGUUCCGACCUGCACGAAAUGGCGUAAUGAUGGCCAGGCUGUCUCCACCCGAGACUCAGUGAAAUUGAACGUCGCUGUGAAGAUUGCAGUGUACCCGCGGCAAGACGGAAAGUACCCCGUGAACCUUUACUAUAGCUUGACACUGUAACAUUGAGCCUUGAUGUGUAGGAUAGGUGGGAGGUCUUUGAAGUGUGGACGCCAGUCUGCAUGGUAGCCGACCUUGAAAUACCACCCUUUAAUGUU